CAUGCAAGUAGGACGCACAGUUUACACCGUAGCUUGCUACACCAUAGACUGUGAGUUGCGAACGGGUGAGUAACGCGUAGGUAACCUACCUAUUAGAGGGGGAUAACUAUUGGAAACGAUAGCUAAUACCGCAUAACAGUAUGUAACACAUGUUAGAUGCUUGAAAGAUGCAAUUGCAUCGCUAGUAGAUGGACCUGCGUUGUAUUAGCUAGUAGGUAGGGUAAAGGCCUACCUAGGCAACGAUACAUAGCCGACCUGAGAGGGUGAUCGGCCACACUGGGACUGAGACACGGCCCAGACUCCUACGGGAGGCAGCAGUAGGGAAUCUUCGGCAAUGGGGGGAACCCUGACCGAGCAACGCCGCGUGAGUGAAGAAGGUUUUCGGAUCGUAAAGCUCUGUUGUUAAGGAAGAACGAGUGUGAGAAUGGAAAGUUCAUGCUGUGACGGUACUUAACCAGAAAGGGACGG
rnacentral:rRNA from 1 species